AUUGAACGCUGGCGGCAGGCCUAACACAUGCCAGUCGAGCGGAUGAAGGGAGCUUGCUCCUGGAUUCAGCGGCGGACGGGUGAGUAAUGCCUAGGAAUCUGCCUGGUAGUGGGGGAUAACGUCCGGAAACGGGCGCUAAUACCGCAUACGUCCUGAGGGAGAAAGUGGGGGAUCUUCGGACCUCACGCUAUCAGAUGAGCCUAGGUCGGAUUAGCUAGUUGGUGGGGUAAAGGCCUACCAAGGCGACGAUCCGUAACUGGUCUGAGAGGAUGAUCAGUCACACUGGAACUGAGACACGGGCCAGACUCCUACGGGAGGCAGCAGUGGGGAAUAUUGGACAAUGGGCGAAAGCCUGAUCCAGCCAUGCCGCGUGUGUGAAGAAGGUCUUCGGAUUGUAAAGCACUUUAAGUUGGGAGGAAGGGCAGUAAGUUAAUACCUUGCUGUUUUGACGUUACCAACAGAAUAAGCACCGGCUAACUUCGU
rnacentral:rRNA from 1 species